GUCUUUUAUGGGUAAUAUGUGGGAAUCCAGCUGUCCAUGGCUUGGGGACUCUGCAGGUGUAGAUUGCCUGGGGACAGUCAAGGGGUGGUGAAUGCUUGGGUCGCAGCUGACAGGGCGGAGGGAAGGCCGGGUGGGCAGAACAAUGGGAGUGCGGUGCAGGGAUUGUGGGAGAGAAUCUAGGCUGGAGCCACAGUGUCUGGAGCGCCCCUCCACUCCCCUCAUCCAGCUUUUGUUCAGCUGCAAAAGCUAUCAGCACUUCCUACUGACACCAACAAUAACUCCACACAGCUGGGCCCUUUUUAGCCUGUUUACAGCACAUCAAGGCAAGGGGAGAGAGAAGACAGAGGGAAGAGGCAGAGGAGGGGAAAGAAAAGUGAAACAUAUUAGCUCCUGAUUUUAACUGACAGAAUGGCAGUGCCCUCUCUCAGCUCCCCUUCCCUCCUUCGUCGCUGACACAAUUCAUUUCCCAGUGGACUCUUUAUAUGUGAGCUGAUUAUGACUUUUAAAUCUGCGACUGUGUCAGCGCUGUCGCAACAUCAUGCAUCUAUCAAACGGCUGAAAAGCAACACUUAUCCUUUUUUUUUCUGGGACAUUGUGUCUCUUGGCUAUAUUUACUCCAGCACACAAACAGUUUCCCAGUAGCGUUUUUCAGCAUAAAUUGUUCCAUUUGGUGGAGGGGAAACAUAUUAGCUAAUACGCCCUCUUUAUCGCUACAGCAAAUAGAUCUACAAAAGCACACUACAGGAAGUCACAAGGGGGAAAAGCUGGUGCAGGAAUUCACUCAGAGGAAAUAGGACAUUCCACUAGUGCUUUGACACUUUUGCUGCUGUUAUUAUUGCUGCAAGGACAAUAAGUCGAGCCCAUACUACUUCCCGAAACAUGAAAGUGACCAAAGUACAAUAAUGGCGGAUGAGAAUAAACGGUUUCUUAGACAGAG